GCGUCGGUGGUGCAACUGUUAGCAUACGCUUUCGGAAAGUGUGAGAUCUGGGUGCGAAUCCCGGUUGACGCA